rnacentral:rRNA from 1 species
GCAACUCGCCUGCACGAAGUCGGAAUUGCUAGUAAUCGUAGGUCAGCAUACUACGGUGAAUACGUUCCCGGGCCUUGUACACACCGCCCGUCAAACCAUGAGAGUUGGCAACACCCGAAGUCGGUAGUCUAACCGCAAGGAGGACGCCGCCGAAGGUGGGGUUNAUGAUUAGGGUUAAGUCGUAACAAGGUAAC